AAAUUGAAGAGUUUGAUCAUGGCUCAGAUUGAACGCUGGCGGCAGGCUUAACACAUGCAAGUCGAACGGUAACAGGAAUCAGCUUGCUGAUUCGCUGACGAGUGGCGGACGGGUGAGUAAUGUCUGGGAAACUGCCUGAUGGAGGGGGAUAACUACUGGAAACGGUAGCUAAUACCGCAUAA
rnacentral:rRNA from 1 species